AACUUGUAUAGGUACACUGUUAUUGUCACAAUACGCAUAUGUCAGUUUGAUACUAAAAUUCCUGUGGGUCCAUUGAUAGUAAGUGGGGACACGAGUUGAAUUUCCGAUAAUUUGAAUCAUCGGACUGUGGUGGCAUUGGCAAGAUGUNAAAUAGUUUUAUAUAAAACCAUCUCUGAACAUUUUCAUUUGAGAAGGCAAUAACCUCUAUCGCAAAU
rnacentral:misc_RNA from 1 species